GAUCCUGGCUCAGGAUGAACGCUAGCUACAGGCUUAACACAUGCAAGUCGAGGGGCAGCGGGAUUGAAGCUUGCUUCAAUUGCCGGCGACCGGCGCACGGGUGAGUAGCGCGUAUCCAACCUUCCGUACACUCAGGGAUAGCCUUUCGAAAGAAAGAUUAAUACCUGAUGGUAUGAUGAGAUUGCUAUGAUAUCAUCAUUAAAGAGUUUAUCGGUAACGGAUGGGG
rnacentral:rRNA from 1 species